UACGUAGGGGGCUAGCGUUGUCCGGAAUCAUUGGGCGUAAAGCGCGCGUAGGUGGCUUCGUAAGUCCGUUGUGAAAGUCAAAGGCUCAACCUUUGAAAGCCGAUGGAUACUGCGGAGCUAGAGUACGGAAGAGGCGAGUGGAAUUCCUGGUGUAGCGGUGGAAUGCGCAGAUAUCAGGAGGAACACCAAUAGCGAAGGCAGCUCGCUGGGACGUACUGACACUAAGGCGCGAAAGCGUGGGGAGCGAACAGG
rnacentral:rRNA from 1 species